rnacentral:rRNA from 1 species
AACGAACGCUGGCGGCAGGCCUAACACAUGCAAGUCGAACGGGCGUAGCAAUACGUCAGUGGCGGACGGGUGAGUAACACGUGGGAAUAUGCCUUUCGGUUCGGAACAACUCGGGGAAACCCGCGCUAAUUCCGGAUACGCCCUUACGGGAAGAUUAUCGCCGAAAGAUUAGCCCGCGUCCGAUUAGCUAGUUGGUGAGGUAAAGGCUCACCAAGGCACCGAUCGGUAGCUGGUUUGAGAGAACGACCAGCCACACUGGGACUGAGACACGGCCCAGACUCCUACGGGAGGCAGCAGUGGGGAAUCUUGGACAAUGGGCGCAAGCCUGAUCCAGCCAUGCCGCGUGAGUGAUGAAGG